rnacentral:rRNA from 1 species
AUUGAACGCUGGCGGCAGGCCUAACACAUGCAAGUCGAGCGAGCGGCGGACGGGUGAGUAAUGUAUGGGGACUGCCCGAUAGAGGGGGAUAACUACUGGAAACGGUGGCUAAUACCGCAUACUAUCGGAUAACCCAUAGGGGAUUAGCUAGAAGGUGGGGGAAAGGCUCACCUAGGCGACGAUCUCUAGCUGGUCUGAGAGGAUGAUCAGCCACACUGGGACGGAGACACGGCCCAGACGCCUAAGGAGGCAGCAGUGGGGAAUAUUGCGCAAUGGGCGAAAGCCUGAUGCAGCCAUGCCGCGUGUAUGAAGAAGGCCUUAGGGUUGUAAAGUACUUUCAGCGGGGAGGCGUUACCCGCAGAAGAAGCACCGGCUAACUACGUGCCAGCAGACGCGGUAAUAC